ACUCCUACGGGAGGCAGCAGUGGGGAAUAUUGCGCAAUGCCGGAAACGGUGACGCAGCGACGCCGCGUGGGCGAGGAAGGCCUUCGGGUCGUAAAGCCCUUUCAGUGGGGAAGAAAGGUCCAGGCAGUAACUGGUUUGGAUUUGACGGUACCCACAGAAG
rnacentral:rRNA from 1 species